GUAGGUGGCAAGCGUUGUCCGGAAUUAUUGGGCGUAAAGCGCGCGCAGGCGGGUUCUUUAAAGGUCUGAUGUGAAAAGCCCACGGGCUCAACCGUGGAGGGUCAUUGGAAACUGGAGAACUUGAGUACAGAAGAGGAAAGCGGAAUUCCACGUGUAGCGGUGAAAAUGCGUAGAGAUGUGGAGGAACACCAGUGGCGAAGGCGGCUUUCUGGUCUGUAACUGACGCUGAGGCGCGAAAGCGUGGGGAGCAAACAGGAUUAGAUACCCUGGAAGUCCACGCCGUAAACGAUGAGUGCUAAGUGUUAGGGGGUUUCCGCCCCUUAGUGCUGCAGCUAACGCAUUAAGCACUCCGCCUGGGGGAGUACGGCCGCAAAGGCUG
rnacentral:rRNA from 1 species